rnacentral:lncRNA from 1 species
AUAUUCAGUACAGAGAGACAACACAGCAUACCACGCAUAUUCAGUACAGAGAGACAACACAGCAUAUUAUGUUAAAAUACCAUUAAUUGUAAGACAGAAUAUAAAUUAGCAGAGAGAAUACAGGAUGAUACAAGAUUACGUGCAAUGGCGGAGCCAUGAAUUUUACUAACGGGAGUCAAAUUAUAAAGAAAUAACCACAUGAAGAAUUCAAAGGGAUUCAACAUGUAGUUUAUAUACAUAAAAAAAAAUUACCUAUCUAAACAGUAUAAAUUCCAGCAAAGGGGUGUAAAGUGACACCCCUUUGGACAAGGCAUCUACGCCACUGAUUACGUGCAUUUCAUGCAUCAAAGGAUAGUGUUGCAACUUCGAAACGUUCUCCCACAGACAGCAAUAGCUGUUACAUAACUUGGGAAUAGCAGACCAAUGAAGGACUACCAUAACUUGAACUAUGAGAGGAGAAAAUUGAAGAUUUUGUUCAAAACCAGUUCAUACAGAAUUCUGGUAAAAGCUGAGGUUAACUGAAAAGCAUAUCCAACACCAAAACCAGCUGGAAAUUACACAGAACGCCAAAAAGAAAAAGUGAAAAGAGCAAUUCAUAAGACAGAAUCUCCACCUCAUCUGUCUCCCACCCUUCACCCCAGGUAAAGGAGUUUGUUCUUCUCAUUUUGUGAGUAAGCCAAAUGAGAAGAAAACCCCAAAAGGUAAAGGAAAAAAAGCAUCAUUUGAAGACAGGGAAAAUCCAUCAACCUCAAAAAGGACAGUUUUCCUUGUAAGACUCAAAGAAACACUUUUUUUUUAUUUCACAACAUUAUUAUCGUUAAUUACAAACAACUAUAUGUGUGUGUGUAUCACUUGAGAGAAAUCCAUAUUUUCGAAUUAGUGCUGUUAGAUCAGCCUCAGUAGCUUCUAUCAAGUAUCUUACUCACAUAGGAACACAAACAAUUGGAAAGUGGAUGAGAAAAAGCAACAUGCUGUCAGUGUCUGCAACCCUAUAUUUCAUGAUUAACAUUUCUAAUCUGCACAAGAGAACAUAAACCACACACAGCAUUGUCUGGAAUGAAAAAGAAUCUACCAUAAGGAGGUUCCUCAGCAAUAAUCACAUCUGUGUCAAUAUUUGCAUGAAUUAUAUGCCCAUCGGUACUACGACGAACAGUUCCUUUUAUGCCCAAAAGGCAGUGUUCCUAUGUCAUGACAGGGACAAGCAGAAUGUAAGUUAUAUAUGAUGGAAAAUACACAUAUGGGGAAAUGAGAGGGCAUAAUGUUAAAAACCUUUGUAUGCUGAAAUAAAGUAUGGGAAUCAUGCCGUAAUCCUGGAGUUGCAUUGGUUUUGUUUGUUUUCACCCAACAUAUGUCCUCACAUCUGCGGAAUCCCCACUGCAGAAUGGAGAGAACAAUAUUUAAAAAUAAUCACAAUGACCUAAUAUUGAAAACUGCAACCAAUAGAUGCAUGUGAUUGUGAUUGUGCUCAUCUGUGGUGCAGCAGCAGAAGGAAGAUAUCAAAAGCAGCAAUCAGCAGAUUCAUGACCAUAGAGUGUUUCUCAGAUUGGUUGAACUACAUACCUUCUUCAAACAUUGCCGUCCUUGCUCAAGCCCCACACCAUCACCAACCCAAAGAAAAACAAAUGAUGGAGUGUCAGCAAUUGCCUGAGAAUAGACAGUUCACACCAUCUUUAGUCCCGGAAAGGAGAAUCUAACAGGUCUGAGUGACAAACCAACAAUUAUGCAGACAUUUAAUCUCUCUCUCUCUCUCUCUCUCUCUCUCUCUCUAUAUAUAUAUAUAUAUAUAUAUAUAUAUAGUUUACAUACUACAUGAAGGUAGUAUGUUAGCAAGAUACCCAUUUUUGCUUUACCCAAAAUACCCUUAAUAGCUUAUCGGAUUGGUACAUAUUAAUAUAUGAGGUUUUUUGGUCUUUUUAUAAAUAUAAUAAACCCAACAUAUCUGAUACUCCAUUUUCCCGUGUCUCUCUUGACUUUUGAGUCUCUCCCUUUGUCUAUCCUCCUCUUCUUUCCCCACCCUCUCUGCCAUUUCCAGUUUCAUCUUCAAUGUCAAAUUAAAGGUACCAUGGCCAUAAUUUCUAAUAACUAUAAAGUGUUCUUCAGUUUCCAUACCUAGAUCUUUUUGACUAAAUCCCAUAUUAUCUUCUUUUGUAUUUUGUUUUAGAUAUUUCGGGCCAAUCUUGGAAAAAUACACUACAACAUCAAUGGAGUUACACAUGUGAUCAAUCGCCUCUUUAGCUUUAAGGAGCUUAUCAUGCAUUUUUGCAACUUAUACACCAGCAAGAUUAUAAAGCUCCUUUUUCUUACCAAAAGACAUUACGAUUAUUUAUUUUCUGCGGAAAGUGAGUUCAGUUUUUGGGUUUAGUGUCAAUGGAACUUCUUGUGGAGGAUUUAUAGAUGAUUACAAAAUUAGAUCUGCCGAAAUUGGUUUAAGUUGAAAGAAUACUGGUUUAAUGGUUGGAAGAAUCUCAAUUUAAAGACAUAAUUAACAAUCCAUCAAUAAAAAAAUUGAAGCUACGGAAAUGGGUAGAAAUCCGUAAAAAGAGAGCUUGCAGCAAAGGAAAUUAAAGUUGGCUACUUUUCCUUGUUCAAACGCUGGGUGUAAUGGUGAAGAGCAUUGAAUAACCUAAAAGACAGAAAAUCCAUUUAGCUCAUUUGCUGCUAGUGUGUUAUUAAGGACAUUUUAGGAAAUUAAAAAAAUGGGUAUCUUGCUAAUAUACUUCCUCCGUGUAGUAUGCUACGGCAUAACAAUACAAGUAAAAAUAAGAGUAGAUAAUAACAACGAACAAGUUUUGCACCUGAGGUUCACUGCAUCCUACUCUAAAGCAACAGUUAAAGUAUCAAGAGUAAAGAACCAGGCUGACAUGCAAAAGUCAUACCUCAAUUUUGAGAUUCAUUAUUUCCUCAAACGUCCAGUACUCCAUAUGGUCAGUGACACCAGGAGCUCGAUGAACAUAUUCCUCCCAUGGGGGGUCUAUUAGAAUGACAUCAAAUUUGGUCCCAAAAAAAUCCGGUGACAGCUCAUGCUCAAGCAGGUCGCAUUUGAAAUACAUGGGAGGCGAAGAAGAAUUGACAACAAUCUCAUCCUUCCUUUGAAUAAGUUCUCGAAGCUUGGGAUAGUCCUCAACAACACUGGUAAGUUCUAGUUCCCUGAUAAAAUUUUGAGGCCUCGUGCCAGUGUCUACAAAAUUUUGGGAGUAGUCAUUCUGCUCACCCCUAGAAGGAGCUUUGCCAGGUGGGGCAUUAGUUCGAUGAGGCACCCAGCCAGCAUUAGCUUUAUCUUUAACCUGUCCAUGACCUCCUGGUAUUAGGCCAUUAAAAUUUGGACCAGACAUAUUUGGCGGUGUCCCUCUUCCAGGGCCAGAUUGAUUAAAAUACAUUGGAUUCCCCAAAUUAGGAGGGAAUCCAGUCCCAGGAAGCACAGGUGAGAGUCCAGGUGGAACACCUAGCAUAUUCAUCUCAAGACCUCGGGCUCCAGGCCAAACCACAGGAGGUGAAAAUGGAGGAAUGAAAACACCAGGAGCCAUUGGAGGACCUGGAGCAGGUGACAUGUUAGGAGCUAAAGACUGCAAAGAUCCAGGUGAUGGCAUUCCAAGUGGUCCAAAAGGUGAUCCCAUCAUUGGCAUUGGAGGUCCAAACUGGUGGCCAUCUCUUCCUGUGGGCCUCCCUCUUCCUCCUCUCCCAACCCUACUUCCUUUAGAACCCAUUGGAACAUCUCUAUUGAAGGAAGAUGGUUCCUGGUUUCCAUAUGGAGGUUCUGAACCACUAUUGGAAGUUUGGCCGAAGGCAGCUCGAACAGAUGCAUCUCCUUUCUGGGGCCUUGAUUCAGUCUCAUCCCUAUAUGAACCAUCACCUGAUGUAUUCUUUAUAUCUUGAGCAGAUUGGCCUGACCAAUUCAUGUUUCUUCCCCUGUCAUCCCUAGGAAAGGCAUAGUUCUCAUCAUCUGGAACUGAUUUUGCAUCAGAACUCUGAUUAACUUCAGUUGUUCUUGCUGCUGAAGAUAUGGCCUCCUCCCUACCAUAGUCAAAUGGCCUGGUUUGGAUCUCUAUGACAUCAUAAUUGUCAUUUGAAAUUCCAUAUUUCGAUGAAGUUUUCAAGGCUUCAGUCCUAUUUCCAUCUUUUCUACCACCAGAACGAGGCCUUUCAUUGUCAAUCCACCCACGUCGGGGCAUUUCCCACUCUCUUCCAUGUUCAUAAGGUGUCUCACCUUCUUUUAUUUCCUUGUCAACAAAGUUCCCUUGCCUUCUUUUCCACCCAUCUUUGGACCCAUCCCUAACUCUGUUUCUAUCGCUCCUGCCAUCAUCCCUUCCUUUUGAUUUAUCAUCUCUCGCACCAUCUUUUUCUUGUUCUUUCCUCCUGAAAGUAUCUCUUUUUUCAUAUUCCAUCUCAACGCUUUCUAAAUCGUAAUGGCGUCUUCCACCCUUCUCAGGUGUCCUGGGCCUAUCAGAGGAGUCCAACUCUCUCCUAGUUCUCUCUCGCACCCGUGAGCCACCGUCAUCACCUGCGACCGCAGACCUUUCACGGCUUUCCGCAAUGUCAUGACUUGUGGCACCUUUUAGCUGUCUAUGCUCCUCAAAUCUCUCUAUGCUCAAUUUAUCGUCCCGUAUAGAAAAUGCUCCUCCUCUGUCUUCCUCUAUAGCAUACGACCUGCCUUUCUUAAUCCUAUCAUAGUCAAUUUUUCUCUCGUCACUUUCUGGGUAUUUACCAUUCUUGUCUCUAUUUGACUCUUUAAGGCUAUCUAACAACACAUGACCCUUUUCUGUGGUACUGUCCUUUCUUUCCAAAUGUCUAGAAUCCCUUUCCAGUGCAUUUCCAGAGUCCCCACCAUGUAGCUUCUCAUUAUUACCUUUAUUUCUUGUCUGGGAACCAUCACCAUCAGAAAACCUGGAAGUUGAUUUCCUUCUGACACCAUCAUUAGCUAGGAUUUGUCCUCUAUCCCCUGUUUUAUCUCCAUUAUCAUACUUGCCCCCAAGUUCUCCAUCCUGAUACCAAUUGCUCAAUGUCUCCAAUGUAUUCUCACCGUGUUUCUUCUUUGUCAAUUUGGACCGCAAGUCGUUUUCAGCCUCAUAGUCAUCCUCACCAAUAUCAGCUUUGCUUGAUCCUCCUGAUCUUUUCCGACUCUCAUUUCUUUCCAAUGUACUUCUCCUUCUUUCAUUACUAUCUAAACCUUCAGCUUCUUCACUGUUGCCAGGCCUUGACUUACUUGACCUGUAUUUUCUCUUAUCAUCCCCUUCCCAGUCAUCGUCAAACUUUAAGUCUAGGUCAUCCUGUUUCAGAUAACUCCUUCGUCGUUCAGGGGAAGCCAUCAACAGAAAUUACCCUCACUAGAUGAUUCUCAGCACUUCAUUGAAUGAUGCAAUACCAGAUAGCCUCCUGAGAGAUAGAGAGAAAUGGAGAAAAUGAUUGAUGAGCUGACCUUACUGUGAAUCUAAAUUCAGGCAACAAUUCAUGAUAUAAGACACAGACAAAAUAUUGUAAUUAUAAGAGACAAUGAGGUACCAUGGGAGAGAGAAAUACAGAGAAUAAACUAUGCAGGUUAAACAGGAGUUUCAUUCCAAUAGUUUCAACUCAAUGAUGCUAAAUACUAUUUUGAACCCACCACAAUCUUCCUCUGAGUGGAACCAGCAAUAUGUUUCACAUGGUCAAGCACCAUUUUCGACAAAAGAACAGAGCACAGAAAAAAGAUUGAUAACCGCCACCUUAUUCCAUUUAGGUCACACAUACGCUUCCAAUAAACUUGCACCAAAUUUUUUUUAUUAGACUGGAAAAAAUGUUUUUCAAAAAAGUACUUCUAGAAUUUGGCAGUUUGUGUUUGACUAAUCAAUUUGCAAAAACACUUUUGCCUUAGAGCAGUAACUUGUGUUUGGCCAAGGUUCCAAAAGUGUUCCCUUUUUCAGCUUUUGAGUAACAACUUCUGCUACUGCUCAAAAAUACUUAGGCUUGGCCAAAUACCUCAACUAUCUAAGAUAAUCACUACCAUUUUUGGCUUCCCAAAAGCUUAGCUAAUCAGGCUAUUAACAAUCACUACCUAAUUAUAAUUCAAUCAAUCAGUUCCAAACUAAACACCACAAACUAAAAGUUCAAUAAUCUUUCGGAAACUCAUGUAUAUCUUUGUAUGAAGACUUAAGGACUCAAAUAACAGAAAACACAAGCAUAUUCCGAAUAUUUAGAAUUUACACUGAGAAACAGAAGAAGUAGAGCACCUUCCGAUGCCGGCGGAUUCGGUGGCGAGUGAUCUCCGGUGAUCAAUUCACGGCGUCGUCGUAGAAAUAUGGAGGAGGUAUGUGGAAGCAAAGGGAAGAUAAAGGAAAUCGGGUUUAAAGUAUUAUGGAUCCGAACCUCGAUGGAUCAAAGGAAAAUUGACCCGAUCAACUUUGACAUAAUGAAUACGUAAUUUAUUAUUUUUUACUAAUCGGAUUCAUGUUUAAUUUCAUCAAGAUUGAAAAAUAUUUAUUUGAAUUUAGUUUUAAUUUAGGAGGUUUAAAAGAGAAAAGGAAUAUUUGUGACCCUCUUUAGUCUUAAACUAAAAAAUAUAUAUUACUCUCCAAUACUGAGUUUAAAAAAAAGUAAAUAAGAGAUAUGUAGAGUAGAAUGAAUGUAUCAAAUACUCUUUGAUCUUGUGAAAAAUUAAAACUAAAGAAUUGACAAAAAAGAAAAGAAAUGCUACUUUUUAAACAAACUAACAAAGAAAAUAAAACAAAAGAAAUAUAUAGAUUAUAUAAAAAUAUCUUUUUAAUUUUAUAAUCUUGAUACGAAAAGUUGAAAUUCAAGAGUAGUCAAAAAAAGAGGCAAACUUUUUUAAACAGAAUAAAACAAAAAGCAAGACAAACAAAUAAAAAACCGAAGCAGUAUAAUUUUUUAUUGUUAGUUGUGUUUAGUUCUUUUGUAUAAUAAGAAAGAUAAAAUAGGACAAAUGUACUACAUUUGAGAAACCCAAAUAAAAUUUGGAGAUAGUAGGAGCUAAGAGCAAGACAAAUAUCAAGUAGGUUGAACAACAGAAGAUCCUCAAUUAUCCAUUGAUGAAGAAUAUAUAUACUCAAUUCUCUACUGAAUCAUCAACAGAUUAAAGAAAUGAAGACGUCUUCAUGACCACAAUAUCGUAACGUAAAAAAGAACUGUUCACGGCGCGGAGAAUGUGGUUUUGUCACUACAAGAAUUCAGAGUUUGUCUGUCUAAAGGCUGCAUUAUACCCAUACAUAUCGAAAAGCCUAUUAUCUGAAAUCAUAUGUCCAUCCUCUCUCCCAGGAAAAAUCUCCAUUGGAGGAGCCCAAGGACCUGAAUUCGGGUUGUUAGAGCUAGAGGUUUCUUGAUUCACAUUUUGUGAAUUAGUAUUAUUUUGGGGUGAGUUCCCGGUUGCCCUCUUGUUGGAUGAGUUGUUUGUUGUCAUAGAUAUAGAUGCUGACUGAUGCUGCUGAUUCUUCAUUGGCGACUUGGGACGAAGAGCCUCUAUUUCAGGUGUCGUAACAACAAGAUGUGGGGCAUCUGGUGGUGGAUUCCUCCCUCCCCCACCCUGCCACACUUUCCCAUCUCUAUCAGCAAAAUUCCGCACAUAGGCCUGAAAUUUUUCAAAAUCUACAGUAAGUAACGAAGACAGCAUAAUACACACACACUAAAUUAUUUCAGUGUACAAGAUUAAGCCAAUCUUUUGAUCUUCAGACAUAUUUGGGGAAGAGAUCACAAAUCACCAAUCUUUGUUUCCAAAUGAAGACAACUAUUGAAAUAUACCAUUGAGAGAACACAAAGGAAAAUGAAUAGGACAGAAUAACUAAGCAGGUCUGAUGCAUACUGAGAAGAGCAGGAAUCUGCCGACAAAAUGCAUGUUAUUUCUUUCUCCCCCUCCCCAAACCCCUACCUGAGUUAUUUUGGGUGAUUAGGGGGGGUGAAAGACAGAGCAACUAUAUACUCUCCAUGUCUCAUAAAUAAAAUGAACUAAAGGAAGGGUAACUAAAAGUUUACCUCUGCACUGAAAUUCGAUGAAGAUAAUCCAUUACCAACAGUCAGCCAGCCAGAUCGAAUAUUAUGAUCUUCACCAAAGAGCUCAAGCCUUCUCCGGCCAAGUGCAAAAUGCUCAAUUAUACGGUACAUAUCUUCAGGCUUUGCACUUGAUCCUGCAUAAGGGGACCAGUAGCAAUUCAAAGAGCUCAGCCAUUGUGCAUACCCAGUGCAGAGAGACAAUGCAGCAUAUUACGUUAAAAUUUCGUUCAUUUUAGGACAGAAUCCAAAUUACGUGCAGUUCAUGAAUCACAUGAUAGUUUAACUUCUAAACUUUCUCCAGCAGAAGCAAUAGCUGUUACAUAACUUGGAAAUAACAAACCAAUCAAGGACUACCAUAACUUGAACCUAAGUUGCUCAGACUCGGGUUGCGGGUGUCUGAUAUAGGUGUGGAUCUAGAGGUCAGAUCCUUCGUGUUCUUAAUUUUAAGAUUCGGGGGUACGAAUCCAGGUAUGGAUACAGGUGCUCAGAUUCAGCUAAAAAUAAUUCAAAUAUCCAAAAAAAGAAUUAUAUGUCUAAAUUAUAAGACAUUAUUUUGAAAACUUACAAGGUAUUUCAAAGAGAAAUUAUUGAUCAAGAGGAGGAUCCCGAAAGAGAUAAAAGGAAAAGGACUGACAUCGAAAUUUCUACUAACAAGUUAUUCCAUUUUCUUCAAUUUCACCUUAGUUUUUGUUUUGAUUACAAAAAUCAUAGGUAUUUAUUCCGAAUUUCUCCGUCAAUUUUGGUCAAAGUACCAAAAUCAGUUGACCAAAUCCGGUAUGGAUCCCACACCCACAUCGUAGCGACACGGAUGUGGCACCGAAAGUGAAGAGUCCAAGCAACUUAGACUUGAACGACAGGAGAAGAAAACUGAGGGAUCAUUUAGUUAUGAGGAUGAAGGAUAAUAAUUCCGGAAUAAAAUGUGGCUUAUUAUUCCGGGUUUUGUUGAAUUUUUAAUUUCGGGAUUGGUAAUUCUAUGUUUAUUUAUACCACAAUUGCUGUAUUAUUUUACACCACAUUCAAUGUGGAAAAACAAUAAUCCAGGGAUAAAACAACAACAUGACACAUUUGCCCUUCUCCAAAGCUCUUCUUCCAAAGUCUUUCAAGAAAGCCAAGGUUAAAAUUGAAAAUAAAAGUUUAUUCAAUGUUAUCUAGUGUGAAACCGAACACAUUUAUUAUGCCCCAUAUAUCCUAUUUCUAGACCAAUGAACCAAAUAUCUACCAAUUAAAUUUAUAUCCACUAAAUAAUCUUGUUCACAUACCAAACAACCACAAAAGGCUCUAUUCAAGAUGUGUUCAUACAGAAUUCUGGUAAAAGUCCAGGUUUCAACUGAAAGGCAUAUCCAAC